rnacentral:rRNA from 1 species
GAGUUUGAUCAUGGCUCAGAUUGAACGCUGGCGGCAGGCUUAACACAUGCAAGUCGAGCGGGGACUUCGGUCCCAGCGGCGAACGGGUGAGGAAUGCUUGGGAAUCUGCCUAGUAGUGGGGGAUAACGUUUCGAAAGGAACGCUAAUACCGCAUACGCCCUACGGGGGAAAGGGGGGGAUCUUCGGACCUCUCGCUAUUAGAUGAGCCCAAGUCGGAUUAGCUAGUUGGUGAGGUAAAGGCUCACCAAGGCGACGAUCCGUAGCUGGUCUGAGAGGAUGAUCAGCCACACUGGAACUGAGACACGGUCCAGACUCCUACGGGAGG